rnacentral:rRNA from 1 species
CAAAUGAAUUGACGGGGCCGCACAAGCGGAGGAACAUGUGGUUUAAUUCGAUGAUACGCGAGGAACCUUACCUGGGCUUAAAUGUAGAGUGCAUUCCCGAGAAAUCGGGAUUUUCUUCGGAACUCUUUGCAAGGUGCUGCAUGGUUGUCGUCAGCUCGUGCCGUGAGGUGUCGGGUUAAGUCCCAUAACGAGCGCAACCCUUAUCGUUAGUUGCCAGCGGGUAAUGCCGGGAACUCUAGCGAAACUGCCGGUGUAAACCGUGAGGAAGGUGGGGAUGACGUCAAAUCAGCACGGCCCUUAUGUCCAGGGCUACACACGUGUUACAAUGGCCGGUACAGAGGGCAGCUACCUGGAGACAGGAUGCGAAUCUCCAAAGCCGGUCUCAGUUCGGAUCGGAGUCUGCAACUCGACUCCGUGAAGCUGGAUUCGCUAGUAAUCGCGCAUCAGCCAUGGCGCGGUGAAUACGUUCCCGGGCCUU